rnacentral:rRNA from 1 species
CACUGGUGACAGCGGAGGGAUCAUUACUGAGUUUACGCUCUACAACCCUUUGUGAACAUACCUAUAACUGUUGCUUCGGCGGGUAGGGUCUCCGUGACCCUCCCGGCCUCCCGCCCCCGGGCGGGUCGGCGCCCGCCGGAGGAUAACCAAACUCUGAUUUAACGACGUUUCUUCUGAGUGGUACAAGCAAAUAAUCAAAACUUUUAACAACGGAUCUCUUGGUUCUGGCAUCGAUGAAGAACGCAGCGAAAUGCGAUAAGUAAUGUGAAUUGCAGAAUUCAGUGAAUCAUCGAAUCUUUGAACGCACAUUGCGCCCGCCAGCAUUCUGGCGGGCAUGCCUGUUCGAGCGUCAUUUCAACCCUCAAGCUCUGCUUGGUGUUGGGGCCCUACAGCUGAUGUAGGCCCUCAAAGGUAGUGGCGGACCCUCCCGGAGCCUCCUUUGCGUAGUAACUUUACGUCUCGCACUGGGAUCCGGAGGGACUCUUGCCGUAAAACCCCCAAUUUUCCAAAGGUUGACCUCGGAUCAGGUAGGAAUACCCGCUGAACUUAAGCAUAUCAAAAACACGAGAGAAA